GUGCCAGCCGCCGCGGUAAUACGGAGGGUGCAAGCGUUAUCCGGAAUCACUGGGUUUAAAGGGUGCGUAGGCGGGCUAGUAAGUCAGAGGUGAAAGCCCACCGCUUAACGGUGGAAUUGCCUUUGAUACUGCUGGUCUUGAAUUAGGUUGAGGUUAGCGGAAUGUGGCAUGUAGCGGUGAAAUGCUUAGAUAUGCCAUAGAACACCGAUUGCGAAGGCAGCUAACUGGCCCUUGAUUGACGCUGAGGCACGAAAGCGUGGGGAGCGAACAGGAUUAGAUACCCCGGUAGUCC
rnacentral:rRNA from 1 species